UAUUGAUCGAGAACAACACUUGUUGAUAUAUUACAUUUGAUAGACUACAUAUUGAUCGAGAACAACACUUGUUGAUAUAUUACAUUUGAUAGACUACAUAUUGAUCGAGAACAACACAUUAAUUCAACAGUUUCAGGAAUAUCCUUCUCUAUUAAUCAUUUCAGAAAUGAAGAGGAAGGGUCAAUUUCACAUUCAAUCCUGUUUUGCCUGCAAGCUCUGCUCCUACACUCUAGAACCUAAGGGUUCUUCAGCUGGCCCCAUAGGAUAACCUUUUGAAAUACCCUUUUUGGUUCAAGGUAGAACCCUUUUGUGUUACAUGUAAAACCUUUUCCACAAAAGGUUCUACAUGGAUACCAAAAGUGUUCUGCGUGGAACAAAAAAUAGUUACCCUAUGCGGACAGCCGAAGUACCCCUUUUUAAGAGUAUAAAGAAAGGUGGCUGAAGAAAAAGACAGAGGGAAAGAGAGAGAGAUAGGUGUGUGUGAGUGUGUUAGUGAGAUGCCAUAGCCCGGAGCAGCGAGGUAGGAUUUGUAAGCCCUUUGUAAGUAACAGGCUCCACUCUACUGAGGCUGAAGGUAUGUUUUUGUGUGAGUAAUCCGUGAUAGAUGUUUUAAUUGAAAGCACAAGGCUUUUAGGGCACAAGGCUUUUUUAGUCACACAGGCAUAGUCACACAGUAACACAGUCACACAGGCAUAGAGUCACACAGUCACACAGGCAUAGAGUCACACAGUCAUACAACUCUCCUUCCGUUGGAUCCAACUGCUCUUAAAUACAAGUAAAACUAAAUGCAUGCUUUUCAACCAAUCGCUGCCUUCACCUGCCUGCCCGUCUAGCAUCACUACUCUGGAUGGUUCUGACUUAGAAUAUGUGGACAACUACAAAUACCUAGGUAUCUGGUUAGACUAAACUCUCCUUCCAGACUCACAUCAAACAUCUCCAAUCCAAAGUUAAAUCUAGAAUUGGCUUCCUAUUUCGCAACAAAGCAUCCUUCACUCAUGCUGCCAAACAUACCCUCGUAAAACUGACCAUCCUACCGAUCCUCGACUUCGGCGAUGUCAUUUACAAAAUAGCCUUCAAUACCCUACUUAAUAAAUUGGAUGCAGUCUAUCACAGUGCCAUCCAUUUUGGCACCAAAGCCCCAUAUACUACUCACCACUGCGACCUGUACGCUCUCGUUGGCUGGCCCUCACUUCAUACUCGUCGCCAAACCCACUGGCUCCAGGUCAUCUAAGACCCUGCUAGGUGAAGUCCCUCCUUAUCUCAGCUCGCUGGUCACCAUAGCUGCACCCACCUGUAGCACGCGCUCCAGCAGGUAUAUCUUUCUGGUCACCCACAAAACCAAUUCCUCCUUUGGCCGCCUCUCCUUCCAGUUCUCUGCUGCCAAUGACUGGAACGAACUACAAACAUCUCUGAAACUGGAAACACUUAUCUCCCUCACUAGCUUCAAGCACCAGCUGUCAGAGCAGCUCUCAGAUUACUGCACCUGUACAUAGCCCAUCUAUAAUUUAGCCCAAACAACUGCCUCUUCCCCUACUGUAUUUAUUUUGCUCCUUUGCUCCCCAUUAUUUCUAUUUCUACUUUGCACAUUCUUCCACUGCAAAUCUACCAUUCCAGUGUUUUACUUGCUAUAUUGUAUUUACUUUGCCACCAUGGCCUUUUUUUGCCUUUACCUCCCUUAUCUCACCUCAUUUGCUCACAUCCUAUAUAGACUUAUUUUUGUACUGUAUUAUUGACUGUAUGUUUGUUUUGCUCCACGUGUAACUCUGCGUUGUUAUAUGUGUCGAACUGCUUUGCUUUAUCAGGGCCUGGUCGCAGUUGUAAAUGAGAACUUGUUCUCAACUUGCCUACCUGGUUAAAUAAAGGUGAAAUAAUAAAUAAAUACAAAUACAGUCAUACAGUCAAAGAGUCACAGAGUCACACAGGCAUAGAGUCACACAGUCACCCAGUCAUACAGUCACAGUCACACAGUUACACAGGCAUAGAGUCACACAGUCACCCAGUCAUACAGUCACAGUCACACAGUUACACAGGCAUAGAGUCACACAGUCACACAGGCAUAGAGUCACACAGUCACACAGUCACACAGUCACACAGGCAUAGAGUCACACAGGCAUAGAGUCACACAGUCACCCAGUCAUACAGUCACACGGUCACCCAGUCACAGUCACACAGGCAUGGAGUCACACAGGCAUAGAGUCACACAGGCAUAGAGUCACACAGUCACACAGUCAUAGAGUCGCGCAGUCAUACAGUCAGAGUCACGCAGUCACACAGGCAUAGAGUCACACAGUCACACAGUCAUACAGUUACACAAGCAUAGAGUCACACAGUCACACAGUCACACAGGCAUAGAGUCACACAGUCACACAGGCAUAGAGUCACACAGUCACACAGGCAUACAGUCACACAGUCACACAGGCAUAGAGUCACACAGGCAUAGAGUCACACAGUCACACAGUCACACAGGCAUAGAGUCACACAGGCAUUGAGUCACACAGUCACACAGUCACACAGGCAUAGAGUCACACAGGCAUAGAGUCACACAGGCAUAGAGUCACAAAGUCAUAGAGUCACACAGUCAUACAGUCAAAGAUUCACGCAGUCACACAGGCAUAGAGUCACACAGUCACACGGGCAUAGAGUCACACAGUCAUACAGUCAUACAGUCAAAGAGUCACACAGUCACACAGGCAUAGAGUCGUACAGUCACACAGUCAUACACUCAUACAGUCACACAUUCAGACAGACAUACAGGCCUAGGUCACAGUCACUCAGUCAUACAGUCACACAGUCAUACAGUCAGACAGACAUAGAGGUCUAGGUCACAGUCAGACAGUCAGACAGACAUACAGGCCUAGGUCACAGUCAUACAUUCAGACAGACAUACAGGCCUAGGUCAAAUCAAAUCAUCAAAUCAAAUUUAUUUAUAUAGCCCUUCGAACAUCAGCUGAUAGCUCAAAGUGCUGUACAGAAACCCAGCCUAAAACCCCAAACAGCAAGCAAUGCAGGUGUUGAAGCACGUUGGCUAGGAAAAACUCCCUAGAAAGGCCAAAUCCUAGGAAGAUUCCUAGAGAGGAACCAGGCUAUGUGGGGUGGCCAGUCCUCUUCUGGCUGUGCCGGGGGGAGAUUAUAACAGAACAUGGCCAAGAUGUUCAAAUGUUCAUAAAUGACCAGCACGGUCAAAUAAUAGGUCUGGGACAGGUAGCACGUCCGGUGAACAGGUCAGUAUUUCAUAGCCGCAGGCAGAACAGUUGAAACUGGAGCAGCAGCACGGCCGUGUGGACUGGGGACAGCAAGGAGUCAUCAUGCCAGGUAGUCCUGAGGCAUGGUCCUAUGGCUC
ensembl:lncRNA